CCUACGGGAGGCAGCAGUGGGGAAUUUUGGACAAUGGGCGCAAGCCUGAUCCAGCAAUGCCGCGUGCAGGAUGAAGGCCUUCGGGUUGUAAACUGCUUUUGUACGGAGCGAAAAGGUUGUCUCUAAUACAGAUGGCUCAUGACGGUACCGUAAGAAUAAGCACCGGCUAACUACGUGCCAGCAGCCGCGGUAAU
rnacentral:rRNA from 1 species